rnacentral:rRNA from 1 species
UAUUGGACAAUGGGCGCAAGCCUGAUCCAGCAAUACCGCGUGUGUGAAGAAGGCCUUAGGGUUGUAAAGCACUUUCAAUUGGGAGGAAAAUCUGCCGGUCAAUACCCGGUAGCUUGACAUUACCUUUAGAAGAAGCACCGGCUAACUCCGUGCCAGCAGCCGCGGUAAUACGGAGGGUGCGAGCGUUAAUCGGAAUUACUGGGCGUAAAGCGUGCGUAGGCGGUUCGUUAAGUCAGAUGUGAAAGCCCUGGGCUCAACCUGGGAACUGCAUUUGAAACUGGCGGACUAGAGUUUAGUAGAGGGGAGUGGAAUUUCAGGUGUAGCGGUGAAAUGCGUAGAUAUCUGAAGGAACACCAGUGGCGAGGGCGACUCCCUGGACUAGAACUGACGCUGAGUACGAAA